GAAUAUUUGAUAAUGGGGGGAACCCUGCUCCAGCCAUGCCGCGUGUGUGAAGAAGGCCUUUUGGUUGUAAAGCACUUUAAGCGAGGUGGAGGAGCUCUUGGUUAAUACCUCACAUGCUUGGACGUUACUCGCAGAAUAAGCACCGCUUAACUACGUGCUAGCAGCCGCGGUAAUACAGAGGGUGCAAGCGUUAAUCGGAUUUACGGGGCGUAAAGCGCGCGUAGGUGGCCAAUUAAGUCAAAUGUGAAAUCCCCGAGCUUAACUUGGGAAUUGCAGUCGAUACUGGUUGGCUAGAGUAUGGGAGAGGAUGGUAGAAUUCCAGGUGUAGCGGUGAAAUGCGUAGAGAUCUGGAGGAAUACCGAUGGCGAAGGCAGCCAUCUGGCCUAAUACUGACACUGAGGUGCGAAAGCAUGGGGAGCAAACAG
rnacentral:rRNA from 1 species